UGAGGAAUAUUGCGCAAUGGGGGAAACCCUGACGCAGCCAUGCCGCGUGAGUGAAGAAGGCCUUAGGGUUGUAAAGCUCUUUCAGUCGUGAAGAUAAUGACGGUAGCGACAGAAGAAGCCCCGGCUAAAUUCGUGCCAGCAGCCGCGGUAAUACGAAUGGGGCAAGCGUUGUUCGGAAUCACUGGGCUUAAAGCGUGCGCAGGCGGAUAUGAAAGUCAGGAGUGAAAUCCCAGGGCUCAACCUUGGAAUUGCUUUUGAAACUCCAUAUCUAGAAUCCGGUAGAGGUCAGUGGAAUUCCGAGUGUAGAGGUGAAAUUCGCAGAUAUUCGGAGGAACACCAGUGGCGAAGGCGACUGACUGGACCGGUAUUGACGCUCAGGCACGAAAGCGUGGGGAGCAAACA
rnacentral:rRNA from 1 species